AAGAUAGAAGAUGAUGACCUCAUUGGAUACAUCUUGAACGGAUUAGAUUCAGAAUAUAAUCCGUUUGUCUCUUCAGUCUCCAUCAAGGACACCUUGACACUCAGCGAUGUCUAUGCACAAUUGUUGUCCUAUG